GGCACUUCACCUAAAGUAGGAGAACCCUGGCCGAUUUCCUCCCCUCUCCUCUCUCUCAAAUCAUCUUCCUUGCUACUUGGUGUUUGUAAGCCAUUAGAGGAGUGACAAUUGUGACUCUAGAAGCUCCAAGACAACAAGAUCAACAAGGAAUUCAAAGGUAUGAUUCUAGAUCUGUUUCAAUAUUGUUAUUACACCUAAAUAGUCAUUAGAAGUCUUGGAUUCAAAGCAUGUUUAAUUAGAAAGCCUAGAUCCAAGCAUUCGGGUUUUGCAUGCGCACAUAGGAAAGUUCUUAUGGCUAAAACCCAUCAAUUUCAUGGUCAAGUAUGGUUGUACCUGGAUGGGUUGCUUGGGUUUUGUUUUCGUUUCACCACCGGUGGGUAGUGGUUCGAGUUCUAAGUGGGGGAGUAUUGGGAUUCUCAGGUUGAACGUCAGUCGUUAAGGGUUCUAUCAGUUCACUGUUUGGUUUGUUGCUUUCAGAUUUGUUGGGAAGAUGUUAGUCGGUUAACCCUUUUCAGAAGUAGGUAUGUUCAGCUUCAGGUGGGUUGUGGUUUCUCUGGUUUAGAUGUCAAGGUAUUCGAGACCAUUGGUUGCUGAGUUCAUUAUUCAGCAGGAAUUCUCCGAAGGAUUUAAGUGGUGCCAGUUAAAGGUAAAGGAAUGCAUCAACUACCCUCCUGUUCAGUAUAUUCUAUGUUCCUUUAGUCUUUAGGUGUGUUUACCCUCGGUGGUAGAAUGGGAGCUUGGUUCAUGGCAGACUCAGAUUAUGGUGGCCUUCAGGAUCAUCUUGGAAGUUUUCUCCAGCUAGUGGUGGAGUCCCUUCAAUCUCAAUCAAGGAUGUUUUGACCGAUCAUGAGGAUGCUUUCUUUUUUUAUUAAGAUGACGUUUCGAUUAUCUAUGGUAUUUCUUUUGUCUUUGGAUGAGAUUAUGGGUUUCCUAAGUAUGUGUAUGGGGGUGUUCCAUGUGAGUUCGGCAAUAUGGCAUUAGGGCUUUUCGUCGAAUUAUGUGCAUGGUUCCUUGGGUUUUAGCUUCCGAAUUGGACCAAGAAGGAAACCAUUAUCUUAUCCGCGAGUCAUGUGCGACCUUGUUUUCAUAAGGUUUUUCUUUGGUAGCAGCUAUGUUGUGUUCAGUUGGCAUUGUGAGAGUGUCGACAUGGUCGGUGUGUUAUAGGAACCAUUCCAGUCAUAGGGUGUGGGCCUAGUGAUCAUGAUGGUUUAUUUCUUCUGCUAGUAAUGCUCUCGGUGUUGACACAUUGAUAGGGGUCGGGUGAGUUGUAAAUUUGUUGGUUGGAUAAGGGAAGCUUUAAGGAUUGAGGAAAGUAUCAGUCAGGUAUCAUAAAGUCUCAGAAAGCUGUACGCAUUAUACAUCCAAUUAUAUGCAGGCUGUUGUUGGAUUUGUGAUUCUUGAGUUGGAAAUUAUUUAUGAAGUCGUAAGUCAUAAGUUCUUGGUGAUUAUAUCUAAUGGGUACCCAGGUGGGGGUGCACCGAAGCUGGUAAGGGUUGGAUGUAUCGCAGAAAUUCAUGGUUUGAUUGUCGUUGCUCGACGAAGCAGUGGUUGGUAUUGGCAUAGAAAAGAGUCAAGGGUUGUUGAGAUUUUGGGUUCAUCAUAUGGUUCGGUUUUGAGUUAAGUUUGCGGUUAGUGUGUUUCGAGGAUCAUUCUUCAUGGUUCUGGUAAUUUCCCAGUUUGGGACUGGGGGUAGAUUCAAAUGGAUAGUUCUACCAUUGUGAAGGUCAGGCAAGUGAUGAGGUUUCAGUCUCAUAGCAGCAGUGUAUCGGUCCGACAGUUGAGGAAGUAAGUAUUUUAUAUCUUAUUGUGUUCAUGGAAUUGGUAUCAUCAUGAGUUGAAUAGAUAUUUUGAUGGAAAAGUGUCAUGUCUUUUGACUCAGCAUCUGGGCAGGAAUCUGGUAGUUUAGAUAAUUGGUAGACAAGUUGGGAUCAGGGAGGUCUCGGCUGCUUUUGAAAAGAAGCUAGAAGGCAGAAUGAUGUUUGAGCAGUAUUAGUGAUUUGGGAUUCGUGUGGGAUGAGUAUGUUGUGGUUCGGGACAUGCUACGUCAUUUGAAAUUUGGAUUAUUUGAGCUUUCUGUCAAGCAUAAGUGUUCUGCAACGAUAAUUGGUUUGUAAUUCUAUUUUCUAGUGGAAUUUAAAUGGUAGCGGUUCAGUGUGGGCGGUCUGCCAGGAAGUUAGACCAUCUUGAGGCUUCAGAUUUUAGAUUGAGUAAGGGUGGCUAUUUUGCAAGGGAUUAUUGUUGGGUGGUGAGAGGAUUUUCUUGUCUUCGGGUUGGAGAGCCAAGUUAGUGUUGGUUUUGGUUCCCUUGGGAAGGUUAUGGCAUGCUCUGGGACGUAAUUGUGUUGCUCAUGUUGUUUGGCGUGCCAAGGAUGGUAAGGAAUGAUUUCGAGAACGAAAUCAAAUUUAAGUGGGGGAGUUGUAACACUCGGUUCUAAAGUGCUUUGUUAUUCGGGGUUGCGGCCCAAUCAACAAUUAUCAUAAGGUUUAGGGCCUUAUGGAAGAAAGGUGUGGACCCAUUUGGAUGUGGGUGAUGUUGGUUAUGUGAUGAAAGGGUUCGGGUUGUUCUUUAGAGCCAAGGGUAUCGGUAAAGGCGUUGGUUCGGUCUUUUAUAAAUUUUGGAUUUCAGUUCGGUUGGUUUUUAGGCUAAAUAAAGUUGAUAGCAGUGUGGGGAUUCUUGUUACCUUUCUGUGGAUAUAAAGAACGCCAAAAUUGGAGUUAUAACGAAGAAGUUGUGACCAUUUGAAGUUAUAAGGGUUUGGGCCGAAUGGGGUAUGCGGGGCAUACGAGAUGUGUACGCAUGGCGUACUUGGGUGUUAUGGAUGCAGGUGCAUUUGGGAACGCCCUGCGUUCCCCAAGGGAACGUGUUGCAUUCGUCUGGGCAGAUUAAACCCUAAUUAUCGGGUCUUGAACCCUAUUUAAACACCUUAACUCACCUCCAACCCUCAUUUCCUUCAGCCUCCAUCCUCUCUAACCCUAAGAACGAAACCCUAAACCUCUUGCAUGCAUUUUGAUCCAACCUUGAGCAUUUUGGUGAUAUUAGGGUGAUUUUGAAGAAGAAGGUGUUUAGAGAAGAAGCAAGGGAUUGAUGGGAGGUUGUAGAUCCAGAGGUUUUACAUCGCUUCCAGCCAAAUGAAGGUAUAAAGUUCUCAUCUUGGUGCUUCUACAUCAUAGAUCUAAGUUGGGACUUGUGGUAUGCAUGUUAUAGUCUUUGGAGGCUCUUUGUGAGUUUGAGUUACUGUAAGAGCCUAAUAUUUGUAGAUCUUGAAUUUUCUGAGUUGGUUUUGAUUUAAAGUUGGAGUCUUGAUGCAUUAAGCCCUCCCAUGUUUGAGUUAUUGGUCACUUUGGGAAGUUUGAGUGUUUAGAAUCAUGUUUAGGUCCUUUUUCGACCAUGAAAAUGUGCCAAGUGGUCAACAUUAUGGAUUAAGACAUUGAUAUGGACCUAUUUGGAAGUUCUGGACGUUGGGUUUAAGCCACUAAGCCAAUUGUGCAUUUUUUGGUUUCUGGACGGGAACGUCGUGCGUAAAGCUGGGGAAUGCCAUGUGUUCCGAUCUGGUGUCCCAAUGGAUGAUCUAGUGACAAACGCCCAACGCUCCAUAAGGUAACGCCCAACAUUCGUGUCACCAGUGGACUUUUGGGCUUUUGAUCUUGGACUUGGUUUUGGGGUUUGGGCUUUUUGUUUUGGGCCAUGUGUGGACUAAUCUGAUUGAAUUUCCCAGUUUGGGCCUAAGGAGUUUGAAUGAAUUUAUGAGGAUUUUUGGGUUUUUACAUGUCAUCUCCAACAUACUUCAGUUAGUUUUCUUCUUUAUUUUGAACACGUAUUCUUAUUUGAUAAGUAUUAUAAACUGAAAAUUGCCCAAAAAAAUCCAUUUUUAGGUGAUGUUCCAAGAAAAUUGCAACAUUUAAACUCAUAGAUAGAAACCUGUUAAUAUUGCUUCCCCUGAAAGUUGAGUUGUUAGACGAUUAAACAUUGAUAUUUAUAUCUUAUAAUUCAAAACUCGAAGUAGUUCUCAACAUUUUUCAAUAAAAAAUCAUUCCCUAUGAUCCAAAUACACAUGAUGAUUUUAGGCCAACUAAUAAGCUUGAGAAUUCAGGAGUCUUUCUGAAAGACAUCACUGAGUAGGAAGUUUGCUGCAAGUGACUGUAUCUUGAUUCUUGUGGACUCGAAGUCAUGUACGGGUAUUAGGAUUUCAUAUUUUGAUGCAUACCCUGUUGGUAUUUAUAGUUUUCAUUUGGUUAAGUUGUUACCUGAUUUGUAAGAUGUCAAUGACAGCCCUAUAAUGAUUUACAUGAAAGGGAUCCAAAUUGAUCCCUUUAUGGGUUCAACUCAAUAGCAUUCAAAAUCUUACAAAGAAAACAACAAGUGCUCAAAGCAUAACAAAUUUGGUUUGCUUUUUUUCCCAUCCUAAAGAUGUUUAAACAUUGUAAGAUGUGUAUUUCUUUAUGUAGGAGUUUGUGUAAGUUCUCGGAACAUAUUGGAAAGAUGAUGAGGUUAAUAUUGUUGUGAAAGUUUCAGGUAAUAUACACACUUUUAACUAGUGUUUUGCUAAGACAAUUUGCUGAUGUUUUCUUUAUUGAAAAAAUAAUAAUUGCUGAAUUAGAAUGUUUGAAGUAACAAGUUUGUUUUCUAUUUUUAUGAUGGGAUCAUGCAUGGAAUAAAAGUUGGCCUAAAUGCUACAAACUCAACUGGUUUGCAAGCUGCUACUAGAAGUUUGCAUCCAAGUUUUAUGAUACCUGUUCAAACUGGAGUUCCUGAUAAUGAAAAAAUGACCUUGAUACACAUCCAAGUAGUGAUGAAAACAAUGCCCUUGAAAGAUUUCAGAUAAAAGGUAUUCAAAAUACUAUUUGAUCCUUUUUGAAACUCUCAGAUUACCAAUAUUUUUGUUGAAAUUUUGAAUACAUCAAAAUAAUUUAGUAAAAGUUACAAUUGAGGGCUAUUUUCGUUUAAGUUUUUGAAAAUGGUACCCGAAAAAAAACAAGCCCAUCUAUUUUGAGUUUGAUUGUAUUGGUACAUAACAUGCAUUUACCAUUGACCAUAAAUACAAGCACCUGAUGAUUGGUGGGGCUAAUAAGCUGUCAAUUUGUUUUUUUAAAGGCCUGGAUGAUGGUGUUGGUAGAUUAAUCAAGUGGACACUAUGGCUAGACCUUCCUACAUAAAUGUUUCUAUUGAGAGUUAAUUCAUAGGUUGCUGCGCACGUGUUUUAUUUUAAUGUGGAAUAAAUCAAACUAGUGUUUUAAAGUACUGGUCAUUAGCUUAGUGGAGUUAGUUCCUAUUUUUAUGCAAGUUUUUUGUUUAAAUAGUCUAGCUAUGUACGUGACUUGUGUGUCACGUUCUUUGUAUUAAGUUCAAUAAGAAAAGCCUCUAAAGCUCUAGUAUACCCUGUUCCCUGUUCAGAUUACCAAAAACUACAUAGAUAUUCCAAUUUUGCCCUUCUAAAUCUUGUCCCCUAUGAAGGUUGCUUUCUUGUCCCUAUUUCUAUUUUGGUGUAAAGUUUCUAUUGUUGCUGCUAAAGUCAAACACUUGGUAUCAAAGCAAAAGACCUGGUGUAUGCCAAAGUACUAACCACAUAUAGAAAUGACAAGAAACAAUGGAAAUUGUGAGAAGGUAGGCUUGGUUUCUCUCCACUAUGUGAUGCUGUCAAGAAGUAACUACUUUGCUUGGGCUAUCAAGAUAAGGGUCUUCAUGCAAGCCCAGGGAGUGUGGGAUGCAGUGGAGCUCAUAACAGCAAAUUAAUACUAUGGUGGAAGUAAAGAAGGACAAGAUGGCACUUGCAGCCAUCUAUCAAGGGAUUCCAGAAGAACUUCUAUUGUCCUUGGCUAAGAAGAAAACAACAAAAGAAGCUUGGGAAGCCUUAAAAUUGAUGUUCGUAGGGGCAGAUAGGGUAAAGGCUGCAAGAAUUCAGACAUUGAAAGCUGAAUUUGAGGCAUUAAGUAUGAAGGAAGCGGAAGGUGUUAAUGAGUUUACUGUGAAGGUGAUCAACACAGUUAGUACCAUGCGCACUCUUGGAGACACCAUAGAAGAGUCCUAUGUAGUGAAGAAACUGCUAAGGGCUGUUUCAUCCAAGUUUUUUCAAAUUGCCUCUACAUUGGAGCAAUUUAGUGAUUUAGAGACAAUGAUAGUCCAAGAGGUGAUUGGAAGACUGAAAGCCCGUGAAUAACGGAUGAAAGGUCAUGGAGAGAGUGACGAGAAAAAACUUCUCUUGACUCAUAAGGUCUGGUCAGAGAUGAACAAGAAGAAAACAGAGGGGAAACUAAGCAGAAAUCAAAUAGGGGCAAUGUUGGAAACUCACGUGGUCGAGGCAGGGGUAGAGGUAGGUCCAUUGGUCGUGGAGGUCGUGGUAGAGGGGAUUCAUAUCAUCAAAAGGAAGGGAAUCACCAUCUGGUAGCCAAGACAAGAGUGGAAUCCAAUGUUACAACUGCCAGGAGUUCGGACACUAUACAGCUGAGUGUAAGAAUCCCAUAAGAGAAAGAAAUCAAGAAAACAAUCUGAUACAAGCCACCAUGACAAUGAACCCGCUUUGCUUCUAUCAACCUUCGAACACGAUGAAAUGUUUCUCAAUGAAGAAAAUGUGAACCCACAGUUAAGAUCACAAGGUGACACCUUCAGCCAGUCAAGUAUGUGGUAUCUUGACACAGGGGCUAGUAAUCAGAUGACUGGAGAUAAGGGCAAGUUCAGAAAUCUGAAUGAGUCAAUUCAAGGAUAUGUGAAGUUUAGGAAUGAAGAAAAAGUACGUAUAGAAGGAAAGGGUUCAAUUACUUUUCAAUUCAAGGAUGGGAGUCAACAUAAGCUUGAUAAGGUAUAUUAUAUCCUAGACUUAUGCAGUAAUAUAAUAAGCUUGGGACAACUAGCGGAGGGAGGAGAUGAAAUAAGAAUUAAAGAUCCAUAUCUGUGGGUCCACAAUGUCACUAGGAGAUUACUGAUGAAGGUUAGAAGGUCCUCAAAUAGACUAUAUAAAAUAGAGUUAGAAGAGGUCAAAGGAGUAUGCUUGAUAGCAAAAUUCAAUGAUCCAUCAUGGCUGUGGCACAUGAGAAUGGGUCAUGUUAACUUCAACUCAAUGAAGUAUAUGUAGGAGAAGCAAUUAAUAAAAGGAAUACCAAAGAUGACCAUUCCAUCGCAACACUAUGAAGGGUGCCUAGUGGGAAAGCAAUUAAGAAAACCAUUCCCUUUACACUCUAAUUAUACAGCAAAGUAGAGACUGGAACUGGUUGAUGGUGAUCUUUGUGGCCCUGUUUCACCUCCCACACCCUCAAGGAACCGUUACUUCAUGCUACUUGUUGAUGACUUUAGCAGAGUAAUGUUGGUUUAUUUGCUAAAGUCAAAAGAUGAGGCCUUUGAAGUCUUUAAGAACUUCAGGAGGAAUGUAGAAGUAGAGACUGGGGAGAACUUGAAGAUGUUCAGAACAGACCAUGGUGGUGAAUUUUUGUCAAACAAAUUCAUCACAUAUUGCAAUGAAACAGGGUUGAAGAGACAAUAUACAUCUCCAUUCUCCCCACAACAAAACGGGGUUGUGGAGAGAAGGAAUCGAAUGGUAUUAGAGAUGGUCAGAUGUAAUUUGAAGACUAUGAGGAUGCCAUAUAGUUUGUGGGGUGAACAUGUAACUCACUCAGUUUAUGUUCUAAAUAGAGCACACACGAAAGCUUUCAAAGACUUGACUCCCUAUAAGAUGUGGACUGGAAGAAAGCCGAAUGUUGAACACUUUAGGGUGUUCGGUUGUAUUUCCCAUAUGAGAAUUGCAAAGAAUCAUCAAAAGAAAUUAGAUGAGAGAAGUAUACAAUUGGUUAAUCUGGGAAUUGAAAAGGGAACAAAGGCGUAUAGGUUACUGGACCCAGAUAUCGGGAAGAUCUACAUGAUUAGAGAUGUAGUCUUUGAUGAACAACAAGGUUGGGUGUGGGAGAAGUGUAAGAAAAUUAAAGUGGUAUCAGGUAUAAGUUUCACUGUUGAAGGCUUUAACCUGGAUGAGGUUUAUGAUAAUGAAGUCGAGUGGGAGUCGGAUACCCCACAAUAAGAAAUUGGGUCUCCAAGUAAUGAUGAUUGGGUCGAAGACUCUCAUCGCAUUAAUUUUGAAGUCAAAACUGAGUCAAGCCCACAUAACUCACCUAUUGAUACAACGGGUACACCUAAUUCACCUGGUACACAAUAUACUCCAUGUUCGAUAGCAUCUCCCAGCACCGCCUCAAGCUCCACAGGCGAUGGUGCCCCGAAGCGAUACCUGCUUCUCACAGAGUUAUAUGAGAAUACUGAUGAAAUUAAUUUGCCUCCAAAAGAACUCCUGAUGAUUCAUAAUGAUGGAGAACCAACAUCAUAAUCAGAAUCGAAGAAGAAAAACGAAUGGGUAGCUGCUAUGGAGGCCGAAUUGGCAUCAAUUGAAAAAAAAACAACACCUGGAAGUUAGUCGAUCUUCUAAAGAAUUGAAAACCCAUAGGUUUAAAAUGGGUGUACAAGUUGAAGCGAGACCCAACUGGGAAGAUCAUAAAGCACAAAGCGAGGAUUGUGGCAAAGGGGUACGUCCAAAAACACGGAAUCAACUAUGACGAGGUUUUCACUCCAUUGGCCAGAAUUGUAACGGUACGCCUCAUUCUAGCUUUAGCAUGAACUAAUGGAUGAUGGGUGCACCAUCUUGAUGUGAAAUCAGCAUUCCUUAAUAGAGAAUUAGAAUAGGAGGUAUACGUCUCACAACCUGAAGGUUACCAGAGAGAAGGAGAAACGAACAAGGUGUACAAAUUGACUAAGGUUGUGUAUGGAUUAAAGCAGGCCCCGAGGGCCUGGAAUGCGUGUUUGGAUCAAUACCUAAAACAAUUGGGUUUGGCUCGUUGUGCUCAUGAAUAUUCAAUAUACACCAAGAAACACAAUGGUGACAUACUGAUCGUUGGGGUAUAUGUAGAUGACCUACUUGUAACUGGUAGCUGCCACAAGCAAGUUCAAGAUUUCAAAAGCGAUAUGAAUACCAAGUUUGAGAUGAGUGAUCUUGGUCUCUUAUCAUAUUACUUGGGCAUUGAAGUAAGUCAAUAGGAAGGUGUGAUUACACUAAAGCAAGAAGCUUAUGCUAAGAAUUUACUCAUCAAGACCCGUAUGUUAGAUUGUUACCCCACCAAGAGCCCAAUGGAACACAAGCUAAAGCUUCAUAGGGAUGAAGAAGGAGAGUUGGUGAAUCCCACAUAAUACAGGAGCAUUGUUGGAGGACUCAGGUAUCUGACCCAUACCCGUCCAGACAUAUCAUUUGCAGUUGGAGUAGUAAGCUGCUACAUGGAAAGGACAACUACAAAACACCUUCAAGCUGUUAAGGGAAUACUCAGGUAUGUGAAAGGCACCCUUGACUAUGGUCUGAAGUACUCAAGAGGAAGAAAAGAAGUUGUGAUUAUUGGAUACACUAACAGUGGUCUAGGGAAUGAUGUGAAUGAUAGGAGAAGUACAAGUGGAAUGGCAUUUUAUGUGAAUGGAAAUUUGAUUACAUGGGCCUCUCAAAAAUAGAGAUGUGUUGCCUUAUCCUCCUGUGAAGCAGAGUUUAUGGCAACCACUCUAGCAGUUUGCCAAGGAAUAUGGCUUAAAAGACUCCUCAGGGAAAUACCAUGGAAAACUAUGCCACCUGUAACUCUAUUGGUUGAUAAUCGUUCAUCACUUGACCUCAUGAAGAACCCAGUCUUUCAUGGAAAGAGCAAGCACAUAGAUAUAAGAUUCCACUUUAUUCGUGAAUGUAUAGAAAAUGGGGAGAUAACAGUGAGUCAUGUAAGCAACAAAUAACAGACAUACUCACCAAGACACUGGGAAGAAUCAAACAUGAAGAAAUGUGAAAUCUUAUUGGAGUCAAGAAGUUUGAAGUCUCUGAAUUAAGGGGGGGUAGUAUUGAGAGUUAAUUCAGAGGCUGCUGCUCACGUGUUUUAUUUUAAUGUGGAAUAAAUCAAACUAGUGUUUGAAAGUCCUGGUCAUUAGCUUAGUGGAGUUAGUUCCUAUUUUUAUGCAAGUUUUUUGUUUAAAUAGUCUAGCUAUGCAUGUGACUUGUGUGUCACUUUCUCUGUAUUAGGUUCAAUAAGAAAAGCCUCUAAAGCUUCAGUAUACCCUGUUCCCUGUUCAGAUUACCAAAAACUACAUAGAUAUUCCAUUUUUUCCCUUCUAAAUUUUGUCCCUUGUGAAGGUUGAUUUCUUAUCCAUGUUUCUAUUUUGGUGUAAAGUUUCUAUUGUUGCUGCUAAAGUCCAACAAUUUCUUUAACUUGUUUCGUGUUCAAGGCCUCAAGGGUAUCCAUGUAUUAGCUAUUUGUUUUUUUUUUUUAAUUAACAUAACUUGUUUGAAUCUAUGGUUAUGGUUUCCACUUUUUGUGACCCAAGAACAUCUGGAAAGUGAAUUGGCUUCUGCAAUAGAAGAAUUUGCUAACUUUUUGAGCAUUUGAAUUAUAUUAUACAUUUUUUUUCUUAUUAUGACGUUGUAGUUUGAAAAUUUACUAAAUUGUAGCAUCUUACGUCCAUUUUUUAAACUAAAAGUUUAAGACAAAUCAUGGGCUAAAUACCUCAAGUCUUCAUACAUGUUUUUCUUGAAAUGACUUAAAACAAACUUACAGAUAAGUUCUCUAAGGUCGUGAUUAUCACGACCCUUUAAACUUCNNNNNNNNNNNNNNNNNNNNNNNNNNNNNNNNNNNNNNNNNNNNNNNNNNNNNNNNNNNNNNNNNNNNNNNNNNNNNNNNNNNNNNNNNNNNNNNNNNNNNNNNNNNNNNNNNNNNNNNNNNNNNNNNNNNAUAUAUGGUAAAAGUAUUUAUGAAUCUAUAGAUUAGUCUAGGCAUGUCAAAAAGUCGCGUGAGAUCUCAAUCUUGUGGGGCCUCAUCCCGUUUGGGGGUAUAUGCUAAAACAAUUGAGGUUGAAAGCGGGGGUGUGGGUUGGCAGUUCCGUCCCGAAACCCCCAUAAGUAGGGGUUUCCAAAAAAAUUUGCAUCCGAAAUAUCCGAUCCGAUAAUCCGAUCCUAAAUUAUCCGAAAUUUCGAAUAUCCGGAUUUUUGGAUAUCCGAUUUUUCGGAUUCGGAUACGGAUAGUGAAUAUUAUAAAGUUUCGGAUAUUUUGGAUAUCCGAUAUCCGAAAAAAAAUAAUUUUUCUUUAUUUUUUAUAUUUUAAAAUGAGAAAUUAGAAACAUUGACAUGCUUAAUGGACUAAUGUUCCCCACCAUUUUCAACUUUUUCGUGACCAUUCUUUCCAAACUUUUAUUGCAAACCUUUCAAUUUACAAUCGUUAUAUAUUUGUUUGUUAUAAUCCUGGUUCGUUGGCUUAUAAUAAAAAACUAUUAAGUAAAUGCUACAUAUAUUUAUUUGUUGCUAUCGAUAUCAAUCUAUGUCGUAAGAUUUAACAUCGUUGCUAUUAUUAAUUUUAAGAGUUGCGGUGAUUUUACGAAUCGGAUGUUCAGAUGUGGAUAUUUAUUUAAAAUUAAUGAAAUUCGGAUAUCCGGUUUAAUAUCCGAAUCCGUAUCNNNNNNNNNNNNNNNNNNNNNNNNNNNNNNNNNNNNNNNNNNNNNNNNNNNNNNNNNNNNNNNNNNNNNNNNNNNNNNNNNNNNNNNNNNNNNNNNNNNNNNNNNNNNNNUAAGCCAACGAACCAGGAUUAUAACAAACAAAUAUAUAACGAUUGUAAAUGGAAAAGUUUGCAAUAAAAGUUUGGAAAGAAUGGUCAUGAAAAAGUUGAAAAUGGUGGGGAACAUUAAUCCAUUAAGCAUGUCAAUGUUUCUAAUUUCUCAUUUUAAAAUAUUAAAAAAUAAAGAAAAAUUAUUUUUUUCGGAUAUCGGAUAUCCGAAAUAUUCGAAACUUUAUAAAUUCACUAUCCGUAUCCGAAUCCGAAAAAUCGGAUAUCCGAAAAUCCGGAUAUCCAAAAUUCCGGAUAAUUUCGGAUCGGAUUUUCGGAUUUUCGGAGCGGAUAUUUCAGAUGCGGAUAUUUUUGAACACCCCUACCCAUAGGGGCCUGUUAAUAAUUAUAUAUAUUUACUUAUAUUAAUUAUAUAAAUAUAAUACACAAUAGAAUGAUUUUUACGUACUCAAAUUCAAUCAAAAAUAGGUUUUUAAGUUGUUUGUAACAUAUAGAAUUAUGGUAUAAAUAACUAUUUGUUACUUAAAAAACACUACAAAAAAAAUGCCAAUUAGUGACCAAAACGAAAUGGUCACNNNNNNNNNNNNNNNNNNNNNNNNNNNNNNNNNNNNNNNNNNNNNNNNNNNNNNNNNNNNNNNNNNNNNNNNNNNNNNNNNNNNNNNNNNNNNNNNNNNNNNNNNNNNNNNNNNNNNNNNNNNNNNNNNNNNNNNNNNNNNNNNNNNNNNNNNNNNNNNNNNNNNNNNNNNNNNNNNNNNNNNNNNNNNNNNNNNNNNNNNNNNNNNNNNNNNNNNNNNNNNNNNNNNNNNNNNNNNNNNNNNNNNNNNNNNNNNNNNNNNNNNNNNNNNNNNNNNNNNNNNNNNNNNNNNNNNNNNNNNNNNNNNNNNNNNNNNNNNNNNNNNNNNNNNNNNNNNNNNNNNNNNNNNNNNNNNNNNNNNNNNNNNNNNNNNNNNNNNNNNNNNNNNNNNNNNNNNNNNNNNNNNNNNNNNNNNNNNNNNNNNNNNNNNNNNNNNNNNNNNNNNNNNNNNNNNNNNNNNNNNNNNNNNNNNNNNNNNNNNNNNNNNNNNNNNNNNNNNNNNNNNNNNNNNNNNNNNNNNNNNNNNNNNNNNNNNNNNNNNNNNNNNNNNNNNNNNNNNNNNNNNNNNNNNNNNNNNNNNNNNNNNNNNNNNNNNNNNNNNNNNNNNNNNNNNNNNNNNNNNNNNNNNNNNNNNNNNNNNNNNNNNNNNNNNNNNNNNNNNNNNNNNNNNNNNNNNNNNNNNNNNNNNNNNNNNNNNNNNNNNNNNNNNNNNNNNNNNNNNNNNNNNNNNNNNNNNNNNNNNNNNNNNNNNNNNNNNNNNNNNNNNNNNNNNNNNNNNNNNNNNNNNNNNNNNNNNNNNNNNNNNNNNNNNNNNNNNNNNNNNNNNNNNNNNNNNNNNNNNNNNNNNNNNNNNNNNNNNNNNNNNNNNNNNNNNNNNNNNNNNNNNNNNNNNNNNNNNNNNNNNNNNNNNNNNNNNNNNNNNNNNNNNNNNNNNNNNNNNNNNNNNNNNNNNNNNNNNNNNNNNNNNNNNNNNNNNNNNNNNNNNNNNNNNNNNNNNNNNNCGGACCGAAGUCCGGAACUAACUGCAUCGGACCGAAGUUCGGAACACAUAACACAAAUACGCUUGAAUCACAAAGAUGUCAAGCCAGCUAGCUCUAAGGGCCGACAUUGUGGCCGUAGACCCGAUCCUACUGAAGGGAGACUCACCUCGUGAACUGGCUGCUGAGUGAAUAGCUCUGAGGGCUAACUGCUGCUGCUCCGGUAUCUCCCCGGCUACAAGACCAUAAACAUACUCAAUCAAAUACUAAACACUGCACUGGGUAAAAUGACUCUUUUACCCCAGAUCAAAGUCAACUCUCUUUGGGCUGACUCGCCGAGUUGGGUCACCCAACUCGCCGAGUCCUACUCUCACUUCUCAGUUCUACACGCUGCUACUCGUCGAGUGAGGCAUCGACUCGACGAGUACCCUCUUGAUCCAAGAACUCAGACAAUCUUCAUCCGACUCGCCGAGCCGUAUGAACAAACUCGACGAGUUGUUCAUGAUCCUAAGAAGAUUGUCUUGGACUCGCCGAGUUGUAUGAACAACUCGCCGAGUCCCUCCAUCACUGAGUCUACCCUCAACUCGCUGAGUCCGCUCUCUAACCCACUGGAUUCACUCGACACUGACCAAAAUGAAGGACUCGGGAACUCGCGACCCAACUCGCCGAGUCGUUCUUCCCGACUCGCCGAGUUGCCGCCAUGCAACUGAUUUUUACUCGAUUUUGUUUGAAUCCAACACAUACAAUUGAUAGAUCUGAGUCCAUUAAGCUGAUUUACCACGUAAAGUUUCCAACUUUACGUGCACAACCUCAUGAAUAAGGGAAAUAAGGCUAAAGGAUGCAUAAAAUGGGUAGAUCUAUGAUUAAUAUGCAAAGUAACUCCAAGAAGACAGUAGAUCUGGGCUCUACAACACCCCAUCAUUCAGGUCUAAAGAUAUCCCGACUUAUUAAGGCAUUCAUGCAAACAUAAGGCUUGGAACAAGCAUCAACUAGCUCUUAGGAGAGCCCUAAUGGAAGUUUAAAGCAUAUAACAAGAGGGAACUCCGAAAAUACCUCAAAUAACUCAGAUUUGCCCUUGGAUCUUUGCACUCCAACUCUUCUCCUUGCUUCUUUCUUCUUCUCCUUCUUCACACCUUCACAAAAUGGCACAAAACACUUAGCUCACACAAGGGUGGAUUAGGGUUCUUUCUUACAGUGUUCACAGGGUGAGGGAGGCGAGAAUGGGGCUAUAAGGUGGUUUAAAUAGUGGGCAACCCGGGGAUUUAGGGUUUCACCCAGACGGAUGGACUCGCCGAGUCCAGGAUAUGGACUCGCCGAGUCCCCGGCUCACGCGUGCUCGCAGCCGCGACCCUACUCGGCGAGUCAGGCUAUGAACUCGCCGAGUCCCUCUUGCAAAACUCACAACAAUUACCAAUGAAUUAACAUACCGGGAACGGGUCAUUACACACCGAUCGAUCAUCGGCAAUCUCUACCUCUAAAUGGAAAUCUAACAUGCCCGAAGACUCAGUAAACCUCUUGCUAAGCGCAAGGGAAACAAAUGACCGGGUGGCACCCGAGUCGAACAACACCUGAACUGGGAUACUGUUCACAUGGAACGAUCCUAACGCAUAACAAAGGGCACAUAUCAAUAUCAUAAAAUCAUAUAAAUAAAAUAGAGGGAAAUAAUCAUACCCGUCACCACAUUGGGUGUGGCGUGUGCCUCCCCGGUAGUCAGCUGAAACGCCCGGCUCCUCACCACUGGAGCCUUUGCCUUGCCCUGCCGGCCAUUAGUAAUCCGCAGGGUAGCUGUAGCUGGCGCCUUUACUGGCGCUGAUGCUGUCAACUGGGGGCAAUUGGCCUUCUUGUGGCCCCUCUGGUUGUAGUGGAAACACAGCAACUCAGACUUUUGUAUCAGAUGUGCAGGGACGGUACAAUCCCGGCUGAAAUGCACCGUCUUUCCGCACUUAUAGCAGCCUGACAAUCCCAGUCUACAUGCCCCCUCAUGAGCCCUGCUGCAUUUUCUGCAGCGGCUCGGUCCGGACUGGCCUUUCGGCCUACCAUCUGGUCCCUUGGGCUUCUUCCCCGAAGCCCCUCCUGCCUGUCCCUCCUCUGUCUUCCUCUUUCGGAUGUGCACCAGAUCUAUCAACCUCUCCCUUUCCCUGACAAUCAUAGAGUACAAGGUAGGGCAAGCUGAAAAACUAACAUGCUCUCGAAUAUCAGCUCGGAGCAUGUCAUGGUAGCGGGUCCUCCUCAUGUCCUCAUCACCCGCAUACUGGGGCACCAACAAUGCCCUCUCCCAGAACUUGGUGGUGAUCUCCGCCAUAGUCUCCAUCUUCUGCUUCAUAUCUAAGAACUCCCUGGCCAGCUGCUGAAGCUCGACAUCCGGUGCAAACUCUGCCCUGAACCUGGUCGCGAAGUCCGACCAGGUCAUAGCCUCGAUAGCCGAGGCUCCCAACAAGUCACCAACGGACUCCCACCAAUCCCUAGCUCGAUCUCGCAAACACCCUGCUACAAACCUCACCUUCGACCCCUCAAGGCAGAAGCUAAUCAACUGUGCAGACUCAAUGUCUGUAAUCCAUCGCCUGGCAGCUAUGGGGUCCUUCGCCCCGUGAAAAUCCGGCACACCACUGCCCUUGAAGUCCUUGAAGGACAGUGUGCGAGAUCCCAACUGGCCAGAUGCCAUGUUGCUCCUGAAUGCCCUGAGGCGUUCCUCCAUCAACUCAACUAUCCCUUCCUUGAUCGACCCGAAGAUAAUGGGGGUCGACUCAAGGAUGCCUCUGGUCAUCUCUGACGUGAUAAACUCGCGUAGCCCCUCAUCUACUGGCUUGGAACCUAAUCCUGAACCCAAUCCCUCUCCUAAACUACCAACUACUAGCCUAGAGCGUAGUACCACCAUUCUGAAAUACAUAAAUAAUAAUCGUUAGCGAUACUGGUACUUCUGGAGGGGUUACACCUACUACAAGUUCCUUGGUAUUAUCUUGGCCUUCCUCGGUUCGGGUAUAGAUCCUCUGCUUUCAGUAGUACGGGCCCAUACUACCUUCCACAUCUAUCCGUACCUUCUUCAAGGACUGCCUUGACUCCACCAUAUCCCUUUCACUACCGCUGGUCACUGCUAUACUCAUCCUAGGCUUGCCCUAGGGAAAUCUCUAAUUCCACCCUACCCGGUCCUCAGCUGCUGAAGGCCUCCUUGUAAUGCCAUUACCUGAAUACCAUCACAUGUGGUGAGGCUUAGAUAAUCCUUUGAGUAACUGACUCGACUCUACAACGGUUAGACUCAGACAAGAGCUGCACAAUAGGGCCAAAUCCAGCACUCUAAGAUUAUUUAAUCCCCGAUCACAUGUGACGUGACAUAUUCACCUAAUGUCUAACUCCCAUCGCUCAGAGUCCCACGAAGCACAAAGCAAGCAGCAUUCAGAAAAAAGGGGACCAUCUCAAGCAAAUUCGUCCUCAUAAAGAGAAAUUGAACUAGCAUACAAUGCUAAAAUCAUACUAUCAGGCAUAACCUAAACAACCUAUCCUACUACUAUCUACUCAAUUCUAGCAUGCAGUUUUUCAUACACUGAAGCACAUAAAGCAGCCACAUAAGGCAUCACUCCUAGAUCCUUAAUCCAAUUCUAGCAUGCUGUUCUACUGAAACUGAUAAACAUAACAUAAUCUUGUAUAGGUACUUUGGGGAAUACUUACUUGAGCUCGGCCGGUCGCGCACAUCACACACCUUGUUCUUUCUUAAAACUCUUUAAUUAGCUUUUUAGAAAAUAUUUUCUUCUUUAAAAUCUUUUAAUCCCUCGAUUUGAGUUUAGACACCCCCGAAGGUGUGUCCGAAUCCCUCAAACCAGGGCUCUGAUACCAACUUGUAACGUCCCAAAAUAUGAGCCAAAAAUUUCAUUUUUAAAACAUAUACUUUGCAAAUCAUUAGAAAUAAAACAUUCACCGAUUAUAUCAUUUCAUAAAAGAUGUCGCGUGUCUAGAAACCAUUUUUUAAAAACAUAAUAAUGUCAGGGUACAAAUCCCCAGGGAGAUCUCAUAGUGCGGAAUACAAAGCAUGUAUGUGAUGUGCCGCUACCGCGCCAGCUCACUCCCCUUCGAAGAAGAGGUACCUGAAACCAAAACUAUAAACUAUAAGCACGAAGCUUAGUGAGUUCCCCCAUCAUACCACAUACCAUACAAUCACAUAUCAUUCAUACUGUCGGGCAAUUCUGGGGUGCCCGACCUACCCGGUACGGCUAUUAUGGGGUGCCGACCUACCCGUGUCAAGCCGUUCUGGGGUGCUGACUACCCGUGUCAAGCCAUUAUGGGGUGCUGACUACCCAUCGGUCCUAACAACCGAUCCUCGGGGACUAUUUCACCCCCUACUGCUACUAUCACAUAUAUCAUAACAUAACAUAUUAUCCGACAUAUAUGGGGUGUCCGAUCUACCCUUCAGUCCUAACAACCGAACUUGGGGACUAUUUCCUUCCUACUACCACUAUCACAUAUAACAUAUCACGCCAGCAUAUAAACAUAUCAUCACAUUCUGUCAGACAUAUCUGGGGUGUCUGACCUACCCUUCGGUCCUAACAACCGAACUCUACUACUAUGACAUAUAACAUAUCAUGCCAGCAUAUAACAUAACAGGUAGUAGCAAAACUAGAUGAUAUCACAAAGACAAUCAUCUAACAUACAACUCCUACUGGUGGGUCGGCAUUGUGGCCGUAAACCCACCGCUACUGCAAGGUAACUCACCUCAAAGUAGCUGCUGAUCUGUGCGGGAACUGACUGUCUUCUGCUGCUGCUGCUCCGGAAAUCCUCCAGCUAAUAUUUCACACAAAAUACUCAAUCAAACACUGCUAACCGACCUUAGGGUAAAUGACCAUUUAACCCUAACUAAGCCAAGAGUCAAAGUCAAAGUCAACUUCUAGUAGACCCGACUCGCCGAGUUGGUUCGCCAACUCGUCGAGUCACUAUUCCGUCGAUUGACCAUAAUCCCGUCUCUACUCGUCGAGUUAGGCAUUGACUCAACGAGUUUUCCUUCUAAUCUGAUGUCCAAUAGUCCUUCAUCCCACUCGCCAAGUUGUAUGAACAACUCGUCGAGUUCAUCUUCAUCCAAAGAACACUAUAUGUUGAGACUCGCCGAGUUGUAUGAACAACUCGCCGAGUCUGUACUUGAGGCAAGAAGAUUGCCUUGGACUCGCCGAGUCAGGGGAUUGACUCGCCGAGUUCCUUCAUGGGUGAGUCUGGCUUCCGACUCACUGAGUCACACCCCAUGACUCACGACUCCACUCAGCAAACACGAGAAGGGGGAAAACUCAGGGACUCGUGACUCCACUCGCCGAGUCCGAUGAACGACUCGCCAAGUAUUUCACAUGCAAUUACUAUAUACUCGAUUUUCCUCGAAUCCAGCUCAUGCCAUACAUUGAUCUGGGUUCUUAGGGCUUGGUUAACACGUAAAGUUUCCAACUUUACAUGUAAAUAAACACCAAUGAAGGAUUUAGGGCUCAAAAUGCACUAAAAGAGUAGAUCUAUGGCUUUCAUACAAUAUGGCUCCAUAAAGGCAGUAGAUCCGAGCUCCUGGAGCUCAAUCAUGCCUAGAUCUAAAGGUUAAUCAACUUAUCACAAACCCUAAUUCAUAAUCAAGCUUGGAAAUGGCUCAAGAAGGAAUUUAAUGGAGCUCUAAGGGACUCUUAGCAUGAAAACAGAAGGAAACUAAGUUAUACCUCAAGGAAUCUCUGUAAUAACACCAAGAUGUCUGGCCUCCUUCUUCUCCUCUUGAUCUACUCUCCUUUUUCUCUCAAAAUCUUCAAGAAAUCACACCAAAGCACUUCAAUCUCACAAGGAACGAGGUUAGGACGAUAUAGGAAACUCUGAAGGUGAAGGGGGCGAGCUUGGGGGCACGUAAGGUUGGUUUAAAUAGGGUGCAUACCCUUGAAAUUAGGGUUUCAUCAGACAGCAGGGACUCACCGAGUCCAGAAUGUGGACUCGCCGAGUCGCUAAUUUAAACGUGCUCAAUAUCCCAUUUCUACUCGGUGAGUCGGGCCUACAACUCGCCGAGUCCAAGGCUAAAAUGCAAAAUACUUAGACAAAUUUUACGUACCAGGAACCAGGUGCUACAUACACCUUGUUUGUGAUCCUCGGCAUCCUAGUCACAAACUUGAAGGGAACAAUCGAGAUUUAAACAUGCCAUUGAAAAGUUCAUUGAAUCUCAAAGGAUCUAGGAGUUUCAAUUCAUUUAAAACCUAAUUUUCGAUUUUUGUUUUUCAUGGUGAAAAUUGGUAAAUCGUCAUUUACCUACCUUCAAAUGUUCUGCAAUUUGGAUUACGACAUCCCUCUUCCAAAUUGUAGAAUAUUGUGUUGGAUCCUAGCCUCAGUAUUUCAUUUGGGUGCUAUAUUGAGGAUUUUAUCAACUAACUUGAAUUUCUCCCGUUUGUAGAUGUCAAAGUCUAACAACUACGGUCUUCCUGAAUCCGUUGGAAAAAGUUUUCCGUUUCAAGAUGAUGUUCCACGAUUGGAUUUUGGAAAUGGAAAUCAUCAUUCACUUCCUCUACCUCCUCCAAUAAUUCUCCCUAACCCACAUGUUCGAAGAAUUGAAAAGUUCAAGGUCACACAAGCCCUAUUGGAAAAAAGACAUAGAGAUGGAAACUCCGCAUGUGCUCAUGUCUUGGAUAUGAAGGUGCAUAUUGAUAGAUUAGGAAUGUUGGGUGUCGAUGUCUCAAGGAAGUUGGCCGUUGACUUGGUUCUUCAGUCACUUCCUGAAUCAUAUAGUGAGUUCAUUAGAGAGUACUAUGUGAUGGACGACGACAUGACCCUUAUUGAUUAGACUUAUUUGCUUAUUGUUGCUGAAUCAGCGAUGAUUUGGCGCACUGGACAAGCAAAUUUGUCUGGUAAAUUAAUGUGCCGUCCUUCUAUGGGAAUUGGCAACAUUGGAAGUCCAGAAAAGUUUUCUCUACGCAAGAGAAAGGCUAAGUCUGAGAUAGUCCCGUGUACCAUUCUAGAAGAAUCCAUAUGUUUCUCUGCCAAAAGAAGGGUCAUUGGUUAUGAAGCUGCCCUGACUUCCUAAGAGAUCUAAGAGAUGGGAGAGUCAAGAUGUAUGACUUUGCUUCAGGUAAAAUCCACUAUCGAACUCUAUUAAGUUUUUCUAUUUUAGAUUCCUAAUACAUGAUGUGAUAAGAUUAUAUUUUGAUGUUUUGUAGGAUCAAAGACAAGAAAGGAAGCUUAAAGGAAAAAGUAAGUUGAGUCUGAACGCGAAGAAAUAGAUUUCGAUUGCAUGAUUCGAUGAUCGGAUUUUUGAGCUACUGUUUAGAGUUUUGAUAGAUUGCUUAGGAAUAUGUAAUAACAUAGUUUUCAUUCGAAUUUUCAUUGUAAGGAAAAGUUUUCCGCACCUUUUAUAAAUAAAAUAAAUUUUGAGUUUUGUCUUAUUUAUACCUCCUUGCAAUGUUAUUUUUGAAAAUUGAUGCUUGUGUACUUCUAUUAUAAGCAAUAUUAAGUGGAUGUGUUUCUUAGUUAUGUUAUUUAUGGUAGCGUCGUAAUUUUCGAAGUAAGGAAAGAUUCCCAUCGCCCAAAUUUCAAUUAGACAGAAGCUUGGAAUCAUAUGAUUUGAGUCUUGUGAUGUAUGGAAAUCUUGGUACUUAGAAAAUUAAGAUUAAUUCCUUGUUCACAUACGUAUGUGAGUCAAGUGAAAGACUAAGGAGAUCUGGUACGCAAUGUUGUGCACUGGUCAAGUCCACCAUAAAUAAUAGUAAGAUUAUUCGUCAUGAUUUACUAAAAGUCUAGUAAAUGUGGUUAUGCUUACAUGAUUAAGUAUAAUCCUGAAUCAUUGAAAAGUUUCAAUGAAUGGCAAAACGAGUAAGAAGAAUCCAUUAGGCAGAAAGAUAAAAGUUUCUCCAAUCUGAAAAGAUGGGAGAGUACUAUAGUGUCAUGUUUUGUGAUCAUCUUAUUGAUUAUGAAACCAUAUCACAAUUGAUCCUCUAAGGACACCUUAGUGGAUUAGUGUGGCUAAGAAGAGGAGUAGAAAACUGUUGAAAUGGUUAAAUCAAAAGGUGAAUCAUACUUCGUUCCAAAAUCAAGUCUUAGAGUCAUACUCCAAUAUUGUGACUUGAGUGACACAUAUUAAGAAGUUUUUAACACACUCAUCAAAUGCGGAGUAGAAAAAUGUUUUUCUUACUCUUGCACGUUUGAAAUUGGUAAGUUGUGAUGUCUUUGUUGGAAUAGUGUCUAAGGUUGCAACUAUAUUAGGCAAGUAUUUGACCCGGUUGUGCAUAGUCCUUUUGGGUUGCCUUCACCAUAGCAACUUGAUAGGAUGAUUUAUUAAGAGAGAGUAAAUAUUAUUAAUAUAUUAUGAGAAUAAUAUAAAGAAUAAUAUAUUGUUAUUUGAUUAAUAUAAGUCAUAGAAUUAAUUGGAAUUAAUUUGGUGACUUAAAGAGAUUAAUUAAAUAAGAGGGUAUAAACUGUCAAUUGUUUGAUAGUUAAACUUUAGACUGUAAAUCCAUAUAGAUAUAUGAUGGACGGAUUCUAGAAGCUAGGAUAGCUUCAAAUCGUCCAAGGGGAUAUCUAUGGAAAGGAUUUGGAUAGCCUUAAGAGAAGAUUAUCCAAUUAGGGUUUAGGUUGUAACCCUUAAGGAGUCUACAAGUAUAAAUAGACCCUAUGGCUAAGGGAAAUCGGCACUUCAUCUAAAGUAUAGAAACCCUGGCCGACACUGUUUUGAAAACCGGACCGGACCGGCCGGUUCAACCGGUUCAACCGGGAACCGGUCCUGGUUCCGGUUCUUUCACUCCCAAAAACCGGUAGCUGCUUAAACCGGAAAAAACCGCCGGUUUUCGUCGACCCGUGGUCCAACCGGGCCGGUUCAACCGGCCUCGAACCGUUUUUUUUUUUUUUUUUUUUUUUUCUUCAAAUCCAUCGGGAAAUAACUCAAAUAAGUGAAUAACCUAAAAUUCUCAAACCUCGAUUUCGCAUUCAGUACGCAGAAAGAAGAGGAGCCGUUCGAAAGUCGAAACCCAUACGCCAUCUUCACGAAGUCGACUCACAAAAUCGACUUCCUAAUUGCUUCUUCACCCCCGAUUUCAGUUUCAUUCGACUUCCUAAUUGCUUCCAAUCGAUCGAAGGGGCAAGGAUUUCAACGAUUUCUGCUCCACAUUCAGCGACACAGUGAAGAUUUCAAUGAUUUGUUCUCCAAUUUCAACCAUAAUCGACACUUCCAUUCCAUAAUACAAAGGUAAUACCAAUGUUCUGUUAUGUAGUCAUUAUUUUUAAUCAUCAUUAAAGUUCAUAUAGUUUUGAUCAUACAAGCUUUGAUUUAGUGAUAAUGAUAUGCUUAAAAAACUAGAAAUCGAAAAAUAUACAAAGAUUAGAUUAGAAAAGUUAAGAGAUCAAGGGAUAAGGUAUGGCCUUGGCUUACAGUUAUAUGGGAAUCUUGGUGCAUGUAAUGUGUUUGUGUGUAUAUAGCAUCUGUUAUUGUUUCAAAUGUGGUAAAGGAAUAAGAAUACUCUCAAGUUGUUUUAUAUAAUUAAGCAGCGACGUGAUGAUGUGUUCCAAUAUUUAUUAUGAAAUUUUGAUAAAUGUGAAUUCACAGGUUUUAUAUAUGAAUUAUGAGCUUGAAUAUUUGCUAUGCUUGUAUAAUUAAGUUGACAUGUUUAGAAGGAGGAAUGGGUGUCAUAAUCUCCUAGGUUCAUUAUUAUUCGGAUAAAAACAAAUUAUUCAAUUGGAUAGUUUUGAUCAUACAAGUUUUGAUCAUAUAGACAUGUAAAAUAUUGCAACAUCUUUAGAAGAAAUUUUUUUCCAUCUUCAUAUUUUUUCUAUAUGUUCUUUGAAAUAUAAAGUUUUGAUGUAGUGUAUAAUGGAUUGUCAUUUCAUGCUAUAUAUCACUGUCCUUGUAAUAUUUCUCAAAAUUCAUUUAUAUAUAUCUAACAUGGUCAAUGUGAAACAAAUAUUUUUUAGACCAUAUAUGAUCAAAAUAAAUUGUAGACAUAUUUUUUAAACGCUUAUUUAAAUUGUAUAGAUUAUGAGCACUCCGGGUUCAAGUUCCAAUCCAUCCGAAGAAGCCCAAUCGAAUACCGUCUCAUCUGGUUCACAAGCUUCUACUCAACCAAAUGUUCGGGCAAAAAAGGAUCCUGCUUGGAGGUAUAUUACUCAACUUGAUAGUGGAGGCGGAAAGAAAGCAUACUUUUGUACUUUUUGUAAAAAUACAUAUAACGGUGGAGGUAUCAAUAGAAUGAAACAACACCUUGCUGGAGUGCCAGGUGCUAUUUCAGCAUGUCCGAGUUGUCCAGGAGAUAUAAAGUUUGUCAUGAAAAGUUCAUUGGAUGAAAAUGCCAAAAAAACAAAAGAGAAACAUGCUGGUGUGCUUAGUGAUACCUUGGGGGUGAAUGUAGAUAACAUGUAUGAUGUUAUUGAUGAUGAUGAUGAUGAUGACGUUCAAGUACUCACCCAACAAUCAACUCAAAAAAAAGAUGGAAAGAGAAAAGCUCCUCAUGCCUCCCAAACCAAAACCGUGCCACCUUUUUUAAAAAGAGGUAUGCAUGAUCCUUCUCAACCAUCGAUUAAGGCAACAUUGCAAAGUAAGGAAAGAUGGCAUGACACGGAUUUAGCUCUUGCUAUGUGGUUUUAUGAUGCUUGUAUACCUAUGAAUGCUGUGAAUUCUCCCCUUUUCCAAAUAGCAAUGAGCAAAGUUGCUAGUAUGGGUCAUGGAUACACGGGGCCUUCAUAUCAUGCUAUGCGUGUCACAUUGUUGAAAGAUGCGAAACAGUCCGUACAACUUAUAGUUGAUUCCUAUAGACGUUACUGGGCAGAAAAUGGUUGUACAAUUAUGGGUGAUGGGUGGCGGGAUACAAGACAAAGACCCCUUAUCAAUUUUAUGGUGUAUUGUGCAAAAGGGAUUUCAUUCAUCAAAUCAGUUGAUGCAUCGGAUAUUGAGAGUAAUGCCCAAACAUUAUGCAACUUGUUUAGUGAGAUUGUUGAUAUUGUUGGUCGUCAGAAUGUUGUUCAUUUAGUCACUGAUAAUGCUGCGAACUAUAAGGCUGCAGGAAGAUUGUUAUGUGAGAAGUAUCCGUCCAUUGUUUGGUCUCCUUGUGCAGCUCACUGUAUGAACUUGAUUAUGAAGGACAUGUCGGAGAUGCGUGAAGUCGCUGAUUUGGUUACACUUGCAUCGAGGGUUACAGUGUUUGUUUAUAACCACAAAUGGCCAUUAAAUUGGUUAAGAAAAAGACCAGGUUGGACAGAAAUUAUUCGUCCGGGUGCCACUCGUUUUGGUACUGCAUUUAUUGCAUUGAAAAGUUUGUGUGAUCACAAACAUGAUUUGCAAGCUAUGGUUACCUCCCCGGAUUUUAAAAAAGUGAUUAGAUUAGAAAAAGCAAAAGAAGUUAAGCUUAUCAUAUUGAAUGAAAGCUUUUGGAAUAAUUGUGCUAUAAUAGUAAAGGUCAUGACUCCAAUGUUGAGACUUUUACGGAUUUGUGAUUCGGAUGAGAAGCCGGCUUUAGGUAUAAUUUUUGUUUAUAUUCUUUAAUGAUGUUUACAAAUAUAUUAUCAUUUUAUUAUUUUAAUUGAUGUUUUUUUUCUUUUUUUAGGUUAUGUAUACGAAGGGAUGUAUAGGGCAAAAAAAGGAAUUAAGAAACUUUUUCGUAACAACAGAGAGUUGUACACCCCGUUUACUAACAUCAUCAAAAAUCGGUGGGAUAGGAUGUUGCGUAAGAGUCUUCAUGCUGCUGCUUAUUGGUUGAAUCCAGUAUUUCAAUAUGAUCAGGAAAAUUUUUCUAAGAAACCAGAGGUGGUUGGGGGGAUAAUGGAUAUGAUUGAGCGUUAUAGCAGUGCUGGUACCGUGGAUGGUCUAACUCUCAUGGACCAACUAAAGUUGUUUCGUGAGCAUGAGGGUAGUUUUGGUAGAAAACUUGCUUUCGCUUCUCGCAAUACUACUCGUCCCGGUAACUUUUUUUUUCAAAUUUUUAUUAAUAGUGAAUUAUAAUAAAAAUAUUAUAAUAUUAUUUUGUUAUUUUGCAUUAGAUGAAUGGUGGAAAUUACAUGGUGGAGAUGCUCCGGAAUUGCAAAAAUUUGCAAUUCGAAUUUUAAGCCAAACUGCUUCUUCUUCCGGGUGUGAAAGGAAUUGGAGUGUCUUUGAGAGGAUCCACACUAAAAGAAGGAAUCGAUUGGAGCAUCAAAGACUUAAUGACCUUGUUUAUGUUCAUUAUAAUUUGCGUCUACAAAAUAGGUAAUGUAUACAUUUAAACUUUUUUUUUUUUUUCAUUUUUUUACUUAUGUGUAAAAGUAUAUUAAUAUUUUUCUCUAGGCUCAAGGAUUACAAAAAGUCUUAUGAUCCGAUUGAUUAUGAAAGUAUUGAUAAAAUCGAGUUUUGGGUGGUUGAUGAAAUACCGGAGGGUGAACUAAAUUAUAAUGAAUUGGAAAAUAUGGUUGAAGAAGAACCACCAAACUACGAUGAAUCAAUGAUGUUUGAAUCUCAAGUUUCUCAAGGUUAGUAUUUUAUGUUAUUCUAUCAAUAUUUUGUUAUUCUUCAAUUUGAGUUUAAUUUUUGAUAAAAUUGAAUUUGAAUUUGGUAUUAAAGAUGAUGAAGAAGAUGAUGAUGGAGCCGCGUUAGAAGAAAUUGACAUUGAUUCAUUUAGAUGAAAAUUAAAUUGUGAUUGAAGUUUGCAUUUUGAUACAUUUCAUGGUAUUUUGAUGUUUAUGUUGUAAACUUUUUUUUUGAAGACUAGAAUCAAGAUGUGUUGAAUUAUUUUCUUGAUAUUUUGUAUGUUUGAUAUUUUUAUUUAAUGUUGAAAACUAAUGUUUAUUGAUAUUUUGGGCUUAAAGUUUAUUUUUGUAUUUUUUUGGAAUAUUUUAAAAUUUUAAAUACAAUAAUGAUGUAAUAAUGAAGUCGUCCGGUUCAUCCGGUUUUUUUGAACGGUCCGACCGGUUGAACCGGUUGACCCAUCGACCCGGUUAAGCUGCCGGUUCGAUGUCCGGUCCGGUUUUCAAAACAUUGCUGGCCGAUUUCCUUCCCCUCUCCUCUCUCCCAAAUCAUCCUCCUUGCUAUUUGGUGUUCGUAAGCCAUUAGAGGAGUGACAAUUAUGACUCUAGAAGCUCCAAGACAACAAGAUCAACAAGGAAUUCAAAGGUAUGAUUCUAGAUCUGUUUUAUCAUUGUUCUUUUUCUUAAAUAGUCAUUAGAAGUCUUGGAUUCAAAGCAUGUUUAAUUAGAAAGCCUAUAUCCAAGCAUUAGGGUUUUGCAUGUGCACAUAGGAAAGUUCUUAUGGCUAAAACCCAUCAGUGGUAUCAGAGCGUGGCUUGGUUUUCAUUAAAUUGUUGCUUAAUUGUCUGAAACAUAACUACAAAAUUCGAUUUUUAUGUUUCUGAGUCAUGGACUCGGCGAGUUGGCCUGACUCGUCGAGUCCCUUUGUGCACUCGGCGAGUCUAAGCGUCAGGAAUGGCCAGAUUCGGGAUUUCUUCAUAAUUAUCUUAUGGUAACUUACCUUAGUCAUAUUAGAUCAACCCAAAUCCGAUUUUUUGAUAUAUAUGACUAUGAUCUUGAUCUAAUUAAAGAUAUUUAUCAACUAAUAAAAUAUUUAAUUUCCUUAUAUGAUAAUUAAUUAAUUAUUUUGAUUAUUUUGGUAAUUAUCUUGAAAAGAAAUCUUGAAUAAAUCAAAUAUAGAUAAUUAGGAUAUUAAUUGUUAAUUGGAAUUAUUUGUUAUUUGAUCCUCCAUGUUUUAAAUGUUUAAAACCUACCCUCAUGUUUUGAAAUUUACUUUUGUGAUUAAAAGUUUUAAUUUAGACAACUUAAAUUUCAAACCCUAGAUUUUAAAAGUUUUAAAAUACAACCCUAUACUAAUAUGAUAUUACUAGAAUAAUAUAUAUAUGUAUAACUAAAUGCUAGUCUUACCGUUAGUAGGCCUCAUUCACGAAGCCGAUCUAUAAGGUGGGUAUAAGGUUGCGGCCUAUAAAAUGGCGCUUAAUGGGUGUACACUCACACCCACCGCUUGCUUGAUUGGUGGAGGGUCGUUAGCCGAACGGGUAGGAUAGGGCAACCUCAUCCUCUCAUUAAAAGUAUAAUAAGAAAUAUAAAGUAACUACACAUUUUUUUAAAAUUUCCCAAUCCUAGUUACUUUAGGAAAAGUGAAUUGAUGCAAUCCCAUGAAAUUACACUUUGCACCUUGCUAAGAUGUUAGUGGAGCGUGUGUGGUUUACCGGCACACUAAUUGGUUCUAAGCGAAGGUGGCAAAGGGUGAUUCAUUGUUUAUCAUAGUUCGAUGGAGCGUGUGUGGUUUACCGGCACAUCGAAUAGGUGAUUGUUACAAUGAAGGCACCAUGUGAAUUUGCAUGGUAAUUCACACCCGCUUUGUGAUCCUCGGCAUCCCAGUCACAAACAAGAGGGGCAUAUCGAGAUUUAAACAUGCCAUUGAAUAGUUUCAAUGAAUCUCAUCCGAACCUAGGAAUUCUCAAAAACACUUAGGACUAAUAGUUUAAGUUUUGUGAUGGAGAAUUAGUGAAUCGUCAUUCACUUACCUUCAAUUUAUUUGCAUGUUAGAUUACGGCAUCCCUUUUCUAGUAUGUAAAUGUUAUUGUUGGAUCCUAGCCCUAAUUUUCUUAUUGGGUGAUAAUUAGGGAUUCUUAUUCUAAUCUAUCUUUGUCCUUUUCUAAUUGUAGAUGUCGAACGCAAACAACGCUGCUGCUAGUUCUUUCACGUUGAUGAGCCUUUGCCAAAAGGUCACCUUCGAUGGAACGAACUUUAGCGAAUGGAUAAGAUACAUUCGCACCAUUGCUCGCUAUGAGGAUAAGGAGUAUGUCCUCGAUGAGAAGCUCGAGAAAAUCAACCCCGAAAUUGCUACUCCCGCCGAAAUCACCGCCUUUGAAACUCAUGAGCGAGAUGCAACGAAGGUACAUUGCAUCAUGAUCGCCACCAUGAACUCCGAAUUCCAAAAGUCCUACGAGGACAUGUACCCGUACGAGAUGCAUCAAGACUUAUUGGAGAGGUACCACCAAAACGCGAGACAAGAGAGGUACGAGAUUUUCACUAACAUGAUUUCCGCGAAGAUGGGUCAUGGAGAAUCUCUUACCGUGCACUUGCAAAAGAUGCAAAGGUAUGUUGACCGCCUCCGCAAGUUAAAUGUUGACUUCGGUGAAGACUUGGCGAUCGACAUGGUGCUUCACUCUUUGCCUCCGAUGUACAACCAAUUUAGGAUGACCUACCACAUGAACAAAGAAGAGGUCACCCUAAGCAAGCUCCAAGGUCUCUUGAGGGUUGCUGAGAGCAACUUCAAAGACAAGUCUGUUGCACCUACUCCCAAUCCGCCCGCUGCUCCUGUCUUGGCUAUUGGACAAGGGAAGGGAAAGAAGAGGAAAGCUUCAUCGAAGAACUAUCGCAAGGUGAAAGCCCGAGAUGGUGCCUCUUCUAGUGGGACCAAAGUUGAUCCCGCCAAGCCCUGCUCUAACCCGAAGGAGGCAGAGUGCCACCACUGCCACAAGAUAGGACAUUGGAAGAGAAGCUGCCCGGAUUACCUGCAAGCAAUCAAAGAAGGAAAGAUCAAGCCAUCUUUCGCAGGUAUAUAUACAAUCAAAUCUAACGAUUCUAAUCAUGCUAUUUCUUGGGUUCUUGAUACCGGUUGUGGUUAUCACAUUUGUUCUAAUGUGCAGGGACUAAGAAGAAGUAGGGAUGUGGAGCAAGGAAGGAUCAAUCUAAUCAUGGGGAACAGAAGAUCGUCGCCUGUGACCAAGAUUGGAGUGUAUUCCUUAGUGCUUAGGAAUAGUUUAGUUUUAGAUUUGAACAAUUGUUGCUAUUCGCCAGAAAUGGCAAGAAACAUCAUUUCAUUUCAUGGUUUAUAUAGACAAGGAUUUAGAUUUUCUUUUAAUAAUGAGAAUGGUUCUAUUUUGGCUUAUCUAAAUGGUGUCUUUUACUUUGAAGCUAUACCAUGUAAUGGAAUAUAUGAAACCGUUAUGAUUGUUGAUAACUUAGGAAAUGAUGUUUUGAAUAUUGAUUCUUCCACUAGUAUGGAUAAAGCAUCCUUGUGGCAUUGUCGUCUUGGACAUGUCAACAAGAAACGCAUAGCCCAACUCCAAAAGGAUGGAGUGUUGGAGUCAUUCGACCUUAGGGAAGAUGACACAUGCGAGUCUUGUUUGCUUGGAAAGAUGACUAAGUCACCCUUCACGAGUACAUGUGAAAGGGGCGAGGGUCUAUUGGACCUAAUACAUACCGAUGUAUGUGGACCGUUUAGAUCAACCACGAAGGAUGGGAACCGCUUCUAUGUGACUUUUACCGAUGACUAUAGUAGAUAUGGGUAUAUCUACUUAAUCAAGCAAAAGUCAGAAACCUUUGAAAAGUUCAAAGAGUUCAAGAAUGAAGUGGAGAAUCAAUUGGGCAGGAAAAUCAAGAUGCUUCGAUCCGAUCGAGGAGGAGAGUACCUAAGUCUUGAAUUCCACGAUUAUCUCAAGGAGUGUGGAAUAGUUUCGCAAUUGACGCCUCCUAGGACACCGCAGUUGAAUGGUGUGGCAGAAAGGCGUAAUCGAACCUUAUUGGAUAUGGUUCGCUCUAUGAUGAGUCGUGCUUCACUACCUAUCUCUUUUUGGGGGUAUGCCUUAGAGACUGCCGCCCAUAUCCUUAACCGAGUCCCUACUAAGAAGGUUGCCAAAACACCUCACGAGAUGUGGACAGGGAAAGCUCCCUCGUUGGCACAUAUCAAGGUUUGGGGUUGCGAGGCUUUCGUAAGACGAGAUACUCACGACAAGCUUGAACCUCGAAGUGAGCGAUGUAUUUUCAUCGGCUACCCGCAGACAUCCUUUGGAUAUCUCUUCUAUAGACCGAAGGACAAUGUUGUCUUCGUUGCGAGGAGAGGAGUUUUCCGAGAGCGAGAACUCAUAAGCCAAGGAGACAGUGGGAGGCAAAUCGAGCUUGAAGAGAUUCAAGAGUCGAUAGAUGAAGGAACCUCUACCGCUGGCACUCAACCCGAGGAGGAAACUCCGGUUGAACCGAUUGACGAAUCCUUACCUCUUAGACGUUCCGAUAGAGUUAGAGUUCAACCCCAGUUUUAUGGUUUUCAUAUUACUACCGAAGGGGACACGUAUAUUAGUGAUGGUACACUAAUAAAUCUUGAUGAACCUAAUAGCUAUAAGGAAGCCAUGGCAGGCCCGGAGUCUGCAAAAUGGAAAGAGGCAAUGGAUAGCGAGAUCCAAUCCAUGUAUGAUAACCAAGUUUGGAAUUUGGUUGAUUAUGUGCCCGGACGUAAGACCGUUGGGUGCAAAUGGAUCUUCAAGAAGAAGACCGACGUGGAUGGAAACGUACACACAUAUAAAGCGCGAUUGGUUGCGAAGGGCUUUACUCAAACUCCCGGAGUUGACUAUGAUGAGACCUUCUCACCAGUUGCGAAGAUUAAAUCUAUUAGAGUGAUGCUAGCAAUUGCCGCAUUUCAUGAUUAUGAGAUUUGGCAAAUGGAUGUCAAGACCGCUUUCCUUAACGGAAAGUUGGCUGAGGAUGUUUACAUGGCUCAGCCAGAGGGGUUUGUGGAUCCGAAGCAUCCGAAUAGAGUGUGUAAGCUUGAGAAGUCCAUUUAUGGACUUAAGCAAGCGUCUCGCAGAUGGAAUCUUUGCUUCGAUGAGAAAGUCAAAGAGUUUGGAUUUGUACGAAGCGAAGACGAAUCUUGUGUAUAUGUCAAAGCCAGUGGGAGUAUAGUAAGCUUCCUCGUUCUAUAUGUCGAUGACAUAUUACUCAUAGGAAACGACAUCCCGACUCUGCAGGAGGUUAAGUCCUGGCUCGGGAAGUGCUUCGCUAUGAAGGACCUCGGAGAGGCUUCUUACAUUUUGGGAAUAAGGAUAGUAAGAGAAAGAAGUAAGAGACUAAUUGGACUUAGUCAGAAUACUUACUUAGAGAAGGUACUAAAACGUUUUAGUAUGGAAAACUCAAAGAAGGGAGAACUACCGAUACAAAGUAAUGCCAAAUUGAGUAAGACUCAAAGUCCGAGUACCGAAGCUGAGAUAGCAGAAAUGAGCCGAGUACCAUACGCUUCCGCAGUUGGCUCAAUCAUGUACGCUAUGACUUGUACUCGCCCUGAUGUAGCCUUCGCUUUGAGCAUGGUUAGCAGAUAUCAAGGGAAUCCUGGCAGAGCACAUUGGAUUGCGGUGAAGAAUAUCCUUAAGUACCUUCGGAGGACGAAGGAAUGGUUCUUAGUCCUCGGAGGGAGUGAUGACUUGAAGGUGCGAGGGUAUAGUGACGCCAGUUUUCAGACCGACAGGGACAACUACCGUUCGCAGUCGGGCUGGGUCUUUACCCUAAAUGGAGGAGCAGUGACAUGGAAGAGUUCCAAGCAGGAAACCGUAGCUGAUUCAACGUGCGAAUCAGAGUACAUUGCAGCGAGCGAAGCGUCGAAGGAGGCAAUAUGGCUAAAGAACUUCAUCGGUGAUCUUGGAGUUGUACCUGCCAUAAAGGAGCCCAUGGAGAUUUUCUGUGAUAACGAAGGAGCGGUUGCCUUGACCAAGGAACCGAGGGAUCAUGGUAGAUCAAGACAUAUCGACAGAAAAUAUCACUUCAUUAGACAUCGUGUAGAAGAAGGACAACUCGUAGUGAAGAGGAUAUCAUCAGAAGAUAACCCAGCAGAUCCGCUUACGAAGGGACUGAGUAGGGUUAAGCACUUGCAGCAUGCUAGGAGUAUUGGGCUGAAGGAUGAUAUUAGCAUAGAUUAGAUAGUAUUAGAAACGUGUAAUAGAUAAAUGUAAUUAACAUUUGAUGAUUAAAUAAAGGAGUUUUAUUUAUGAGUAAUGUUACUAUCUUAUGUUAAUUGUUUAACUAUUGUUUCACUUUGCAUGUUUUGACUUCCAGAAUAAUUGAGUUUAUUAGGAAUAAUCGAAUUGUUCAAAUUGUCCACAAUCGUUCAUAUGUUGGAAGUAGAUAUGAAUGAAGAUUGUCAUGAAUUGGUGUGUAGAUUGUCUAAAUGGUGUUAGACAUAGCAAAGGGUUGCUGCAACGUUCAUGAGUGCUUAUGAACUAGUUUUGAGCAUUGGAACAAACCCGCGCUUGCUGGAAUCACCUUAUGGAAUAUGAUAUAAAAGGGUGAUCGCAAGACGAUAAUAUCAUAUAGUCUUAAAACCUAGAUAUAUGGUUUGUUAUUUGUUAAUUGAUUGUACAUUGAUAAUGCGAAAACGCAUCAGUAACUCGGUGUUAUAAAACGCAUUGUUGUGUAUAGUUGGUUAAUGAAUAAGUAAAUGCAUAUAAGUCGAAGUUUAUCUGUAACUUUUAUCUAAGAAGGUAAAAGCGAUAUCUCGGCCGCUCGAUGAUUUGAUUUGACUUAUGUGUCGGGCCCGGUCAGAACUGAAUUGAUGUGUUCGAUUAAGUUCUAUGUCAAAUAAAUCAGAGAUCGAGAAACCUAAAUGCUUGACUAACCAUUCCAUAGGAUUGUCAGCAUGAUAUCUAACAGAGGACUGUACGAUCCCUUAUCUAAAGGACAAGAUUGAUUAGAUCAGAGUUUGACAGCGUCUUUGAGAGCUACGAUUGCAAACCGAAUUGUACUUGUGCAUAUAGUUACUAGACUUAUCCAAGUGGGAGACUGUUGGAAUAGUGUCUAAGGCUGCAACUAUAUUAGGCAAGUAUUUGACCCGGUUGUGCAUGGUCCUUUUGGGUUGCCUUCACCAUAGCAACUUGAUAGGAUGAUUUAUUAAGAGAGAGUAAAUAUUAUUAAUAUAUUAUGAGAAUAAUAUAAAGAAUAAUAUAUUGUUAUUUGAUUAAUAUAAGUCAUAGAAUUAAUUGGAAUUAAUUUGGUGACUUAAAGAGAUUAAUUAAAUAAGAGGGUAUAAACUGUCAAUUGUUUGAUAGUUAAACUUUAGACUGUAAAUCCAUAUAGAUAUGGAUUGGACGAAUUCUAGAAGCUAAAGGAUAGCUCAAAUCGUCCAUGGCUUAUCUAAGGAAAGGAUUUGGAUAGCCUUAAGAGAAGAUUAUCCAAUUAGGGUUUAGGUUGUAACCCUUAAGGAGUCUACAAGUAUAAAUAGACCCUAUGGCAUAAGGAAAUCGGCACCUAACCUAAAGUAGAGAAGCCCUGGCCAAUUUCCUCCCCUCUCCUCUCUCCCAAAUCAUCCUCCUUGCUAUUUGGUGUUUGUAAGCCAUUAGAGGAGUGACAAUUGUGACUCUAGAAGCUCCAAGACAACAAGAUCAACAAGGAAUUCAAAGGUAUGAUUCUAGAUCUGUUUUAUCAUUGUUCUUAUUCCUAAAUAGUCAUUAGAAGUCUUGGAUUCAAAGCAUGUUUAAUUAGAAAGCCUAGAUCCAAGCAUUAGGGUUUUGCAUGCGCACAUAGGAAAGUUCUUAUGGCUAAAACCCAUCAGUGGUAUCAGAGCGUGGCUUGGUUUUCAUUAAAUUGUUGCUUAAUUGUCUGAAACAUAACUACAAAAUUCGAUUUUUAUGUUUCUG
rnacentral:lncRNA from 1 species